UCUCUUUGAAAUUUAACAGGAUUCAUAUAAGUACUGCGCUUCUGAGCUCCUAAAGGAAGCUAGAGGGAUUUGGUCGGAUUUCCUCAUUAUUCUUCUCUCAGACGAGUGGAAAAAGUGCAAAAGAGUAAUUGAAGCCCCAUCACCAAGGAAAGAACCAAAAUGCAUGCUCUUGCACCAUGCGAAGGCUUCUGUUGUAGAUGAUGCUGUUCCACCUGAAUCAUCAUUCGCUGCUGGUCAAAGAAUGUCUGAGUUGGUUAAGGUACUUC